GUGCCCUGCUGGGAGGUGACAGCCCGGUGUCCUGCUGGUCCCAGGGGUCUCUGCAGACUGGAAAUGCCUUUUGCCUCGGAGGGACACUCGAUUUCCAGGUAAGGCAGGCGAGCGUUCCCUACCUAUUGUGGCAGAGUGCAGUAGGUGUCACUAGAGCCCUUUCCAGCGUUCGAGGGGAAUCUCAUUUCAGAUGCAGAAGCCGCUCACAGAGGAGCACAACAAAGCAACUGCUCCUGCAGUCGCGAUUUUGUUUUCCACCUUCCUGUUUGCAGAAGGAAAUACCUGCAAAAGAAAUUAAUCCAGGGAGAUUUUAGCUUUUAGCCCAGGAUGAUUCAGAUGCUAUAAUAUUGUGGUGCAGGGUGAGGACAGUGAAGGUCAAUAACCGACUGGUACAACUUGGCAUCUCUGUGCCAUUCUCCACAGAUCUGUGUCAGGUGAGGAGCUUGGACAGAUCCUGAACACUCAGGGAAGCGUGGGCAGCUCUGGUGGAGACCACAGCAGGUGUUAUCCCUGUUUGGCAUUUGAUUUUUUUGCAUCUUGGAGGAACUCAUGAGAAAGCCUAGGACUGAAAACCAAAACUGACAGCUUUCUGGUCAUUUAAUAUUUGCGUGUGGAAAGGUGCAGUUUUCUCUACAGAAGUACGUUGUUCACCAAGGAGAUAGAAUACUUCACUACAAUGCCCCACAGCCCCUAAAACCAGAUGGUCCAGGCAGAAUUUACUGCUGAACUUUGUUCCCCUGGAGAUGGGAGCUUCCCUCCCUGGAAGGAGCCCUUCCAAAAGCCGCCUCUGAGUUGCUAAGAAACAGCUUGUCACUGUGGCAUGGGCUGUAAUCAGUUGUGUACAGAGCGUUCAACGCUCCUGGUACGUCUGCAUCAAUUAUGCAUCGGCGGUGUGAUUUUUCUUCCUGUGGAAACUUGGCUUCCAGAGGCUCUUUGUGGUGCUCCAGCCAUGACCUAAACCCUCCUUUGCUGAAUAAUUCCUACCGAGACAACACAGUUUCCCCGCUGUGUUUUCCACGCUGCCGUGUUUCAGCAAGGCAAAUAAAUCAGGCUGUCUCCUGCCACCGGGCAGCCUUGUUUGCUCAA